rnacentral:rRNA from 1 species
AGAGCCGAUGGUACUUGGACCGCAGGGUCCUGGGAGAGUAGGACGUCGCUAGGC